rnacentral:rRNA from 1 species
UACGUAGGGAGCAAGCGUUGUCCGGGAUCAUUGGGCGUAAAGCGCGCGUAGGUGGCCUCAUAAGUCCGCUGUGAAAGUCAAAGGCUCAACCUCGAGACGCCGGUGGAAACCAUCAGACUAGAGUCCGGAAGAGGAGAGUGGAAUUCCUGGUGUAGCGGUGGAAUGCGCAGAUAUCAGGAGGAACACCGAUGGCGAAGGCAGCUCGCUGGGACGGUACUGACGCUGAGGCGCGAAAGCGUGGGGAGCGAACAGG